rnacentral:rRNA from 1 species
AACGAACGCUGGCGGCAGGCUUAACACAUGCAAGUCGAACGCCCCGCAAGGGGAGUGGCAGACGGGUGAGUAACACGUGGGAACGUGCCCUAAGGUUCGGAAUAUUCCCGGGAAACUGGGAGCAAUACCGAAUGUGACCGCAAGGUGAAAGAUUUAUCGCCUUAGGAUCGGCCCGCGUUGGAUUAGCUAGUUGGUGGGGUAAUGGCCUACCAAGGCGACGAUCCGUAGCUGGUCUGAGAGGACGACCAGCCACACUGGGACUGAGACACGGCCCAGACUCCUACGGGAGGCAGCAGUGGGGAAUCUUGGACAAUGGGCGCAAGCCUGAUCCAGCCAUGCCGCGUGAGUGAUGAAGGCCUUAGGGUUGUAAAACUCUUUCGCCGAGGACGAUAAUGACGGUACUCGGAGAAGAAGCUCCGGCUAACUUCGUGCCAGCCGCCGCCGUAACAC